GCAAGUCGUACGAGAAAGCCUCUUCGGAGGUGAGUAAAGUGGCGCACGGGUGAGUAACGCGUGGGUAAUCUACCUUCGAAUUGGGGAUAACGUUGCGAAAGCGACGCUAAUACCGAAUAACAUCCAUUAAUCUUCGGGUUUUUGGAUCAAGGGUGGCCUCUACAUGUAAGCUACUGUUUGAAGAUGAGCCCGCGUACCAUUAGCUUGUUGGUGGGGUAAUGGCCUACCAAGGCAGCGAUGGUUAGCUGGUCUGAGAGGAUGAUC
rnacentral:rRNA from 1 species